GUCGAAUCCAAAUCACUCAUUGUGAAAGCUGAGCUCACAGCCGAAUAAGCCACCAUGAGGCUGUCAGUGUGUCUCCUGAUGGUCUCGCUGGCCCUUUGCUGCUACCAGGCCCAUGCUCUUGUCUGCCCAGCUGUUGCUUCUGAGAUCACAGUCUUCUUAUUCUUAAGUGACGCUGCGGUAAACCUCCAAGUUGCCAAACUUAAUCCACCUCCAGAAGCUCUUGCAGCCAAGUUGGAAGUGAAGCACUGCACCGAUCAGAUAUCUUUUAAGAAACGACUCUCAUUGAAAAAGUCCUGGUGGAAAUAGUGAAAAAAUGUGGUGUGUGACAUGUAAAAAUGCUCAACCUGGUUUCCAAAGUCUUUCAACGACACCCUGAUCUUCACUAAAAAUUGUAAAGGUUUCAACACGUUGCUUUAAUAAAUCACUUGCCCUGCACAUC
rnacentral:lncRNA from 1 species